UUAUUUAUGAGAGAUACAGAGAGAGACACAGAGACAUAGGCAGAGGGAGAUGCAGGCUCCAUGCAGGGAGCUGGACGUGGGACUCGAUCCUGGAUCCUGUGAGCCAGAGGAGACACUCAACCGCUGGGCCACCCAGGUGUCCCAUAUCAUGUUUUACAUUAAAAGUGUGGUUCUACUUCCUGCUGGAAAAAACAUUUCCACUUAAUGUUUAUUCACAUGAUUAAGUUACUGUGCUGUACCCUAAGACUUCCCUAGUCCUAGCCCCCUGCUUAAAACAAAAAACUGUGUGCAUUUGCCACUAAAAUUUAUUUUACUGAUAAACUACCAAAGGCCAACAAGGCAGCCGGAAAAAAAAGAAGGGCAGUAGAGAAAGGAAAAGCAUCAUGGGUGGACAUUUUAAGCCUCAUUGAAAAUGAGUUUAAAAAUGCUUUCUGAUCUAGGGGGUGACCAUCCAGGAGCACCUGGGUCUCUGUGGGUAUAUCAACUUCUCUUCAUGAGUAUUAUUUCAGAUACUGGUAAAAAUGAAAUGCUUAGAGAAAAACAAACUACUUUUGCUUUUAUGUUCAAAAAAAUUGUCACAGAAUGCUGAUGCAUUAGCUUUGGGGACAGAAUAAUUUGUGCCCCAAAGCAGGAAAAAGUAAAUGUUUUGCAAGAGCAAAAGAAAAAGAACAGAGAGUGGAGGCAGGUAUGGUUUGUCAAAAAAGAGGUGACCUUCAGAGAAGGAGGUCACGUGACCUCUCUAUGUGCCACAAACCACGGCGGCAAGAGGACAGAGCAGGACUCAGCUGUGAAAUUCCUGGUGCCCUUCCCAGUACCCAACAGACCUGCCCGGCUCCUAACACAGCCUAUGAAAUGUGAAACAAUUUAUUAAACUUAUUUAAUAAAUUUAUUAAAUUUAUUUAAUUACUAUUUUAAAAAUCGUGUGAAAAGAGUACUAGGGAGUAAAAUUUCAAGACUGUGUGCGAUCCCACAUUGAUGAGACUUUCUACACGGAUGGUGAGAAGUUCCACAGGGAGCUGGUGACAAAGCCUUCUGUAGAACACAAAGCCCAUGGUGCUUUAGGUUGCCGCCACGCCUCUGCCAAGCAGCAUGGGAUCUAAUAGGUAUUAAACACAUUUCAUGCAUUCUGAGGGAAAUGAGUUCAGUCUUUGUCUUUUCUGUGGGUUUUUCUUGAAAGAUUUUAUUUAUUUUUUCAUGAGACACACAAAGAGAGAGGCAGAGACACAGGCAGAGAGAGAAGAAGGCUCCCUGCAGAGAGCCCAAUGUGGGACUCGAUCCCAGGACCCCAGGAUCACGCCCUGAGCUGAAGGUAGAUGCUCAACCUCUGGGCCACCCAGGAGCCUCAAGUUCAGUCUUUGAAUCACAUUAAGAAUCAUCUAAGCUCUCUGCAUUUUUAACAUAACCCCUACAUAGGAGGCUCUCACAAGGACAGUCUCCCAGUUCUCUUAGUGUGAGGAUGACUCAAGGAUCAGUUUACCUCCCUAUAGCAGGGCCAGUAAGAAGGCUGGGGAUUGCCAGCCAGCCAGGAUAACUGUACCCUAAUCCCAGGCACUGAAGGUGACACUGUGCAGAAUUACCUCAGGGACAAGGGGGAAAUGCAUUUGCCUGAAUUAACACAGUGGUAAUAUGCUUUCUUCAGCUCCCUCAGGAAAUUUCUAUCAAAAAAUCUCUGUGGGGCAGCCCGGGAGGCUUAGUGGUUUAGCGCAGCCUUCAGCCCAGGGCAUGAUCCUGGAGUCCUGGGAUCCAGUCCCACGUCAGGCUCCCUGCAUGGAGUCUGCUUCUCCCUCUGCCUGUGUCUCUACCUCUCUGUCUCUCUCUACUCUCUGUGUCUCUCAUGAAUAAAUAAAUAAAAUCCUAAAAAAAAGAUCUCUGUGGCCCAGGAGAAUGAGAAAUUUACAGAAGCCCAGGAUUAGGUGAAAUCGAUCUGGCAAAUUAAGUCUGUUGUUUCCAAAGGCAGGAGCCCAGUCUUUCCAUAAGGUCAGUCCAGUGGCUGCCCAAGACAUGUUACGUGAACUAUUAGAUGCACAAAUAGAAACACAUGACUAUUUAGGAAAUCCCAAUACCAGUUCUCCUCCUAUGGGUCCCAGAUAAAAGAAUUCUGUCCCUUGCUGGAGUAGGUACUUAAUCACUUUCAAUAUGACUUAAGGUACUAGUUACUUCCCAUAAAUAUUUUUAUUACAUAAAAUACUUAUAUUAAGAAUAACAAUGGAAAAUUUUAUCUUUGCUGAAUUCUUAUAAAUAUUUUAAGUGAUGGCAACUAUAAAAUAGUCUCAAUUUUCUCUUCUGUAAAAUCAAGAAGCUGAAGUGAAAUUUGCAUCUCUAUCUUAAGCAUGCCAUGAUUUCACAUGCAAAUACAAUACAGCUUCUAGUACAGAGAACAGUCAUCAAUAAUGUUCCCAAGAUUGAUGGGGAGGCAUGAUGGCAGCUUUGCCACCUGAUCCAGAAUGAGUAAUAUCUGAGACUUAAAAUGUAAGCAAAAAGAGGCUAACACACAUUUAUAUGUGUAUUAGCAAUCACUCAAGGAGAAAAGGCCAGUUGGCUUUUUCUUUUCUUUUCUAAGAUUUUAUUUAUUCAUGAGAGACACAGAGAGACAGGCAGAGACACAACCAGAGGGAGACACAGAGAGAGGCAGACACACUGGCAGAGGGAGAACAGGCUCCCUGCAGGGAGCCCAAUGUGCGACUAGAUCCCAGGACCCCGGGAUCACGCCCUGAGACUAAGGCAGACGCUCAACCACUAAGCCAGCCAGGUGCCCUGCCAACUGGCUUAUCAAGAGGUGCAAUGAUCCUCCUAGUCAUACCUUUUGAAGAUUAAGAAACAAAAAUUGGGUGAGUUCCUAGGUCAGAACAAUCUAGAAUUCAUUUGGCCCCUACAUUCUGCAUUUCAAACCCAGACAGUCCCUGUUUGUGUCAUGUUUUGGUGAUGCCUAUCUGUCCAGCAGACAAAGAGAGAAGAGCAACCUCUGAAGUGGAAUGCUAACCAGGGUGGGUGGAAAGGUGACCCUGAACAACAAUGAGAGAGAGAAGAAAUAUUUGCUCUCUGGUUCUAAUUAACUCAGGAAACAAGUCACAAAACGUAGCCAAGAAUGGUACUCAUUGAAAAGGGAUGCUACUAGAAAAACUUUAAAGAUUAUACACAGUACUCCUUGUUAAAACAGAGCUUCAUCUACAUGAUUUGAGUUUGCAACUUAAAUUGGGAACAUUUUAAAUCAGUACAACAGGCAAAUUUCCUUUCAGAGAAGGAAAGCCAAAUUUCACAUUUGGGUAUGAAACCCUGGAAAAGCAGUAUAUAUUUUUUUUUUAAAGAAUCGUAUGUAGUAACAAUUAGAAUUUAUGUACUGUAAAUAACAGGUUUUGCAGGUUCAUUAGAGCCUAGGAUUAGAAAACCAAGUUGGCACAAAAAAUUAACACGUACUUAAUGUCAUUCAUAUAUGAAAGAUCUAUCAAUAACUUACUGGUGUCUAAAAACUCUGAAAAACUAAAACAUACC
rnacentral:lncRNA from 1 species